rnacentral:misc_RNA from 1 species
GAGCAGUACGUUCGCUGGUGUAAAUUUUGGAGUUCAAGUACAUUGACCAAUCACAUGCAAGGAGUAAGUAGUCUCCAGUCCUCUUUGAUGGGGUCUCAGGCCGGCUAUGUUUUGGAAAGGAGGGUUAAUGCUGGGGGAGGGAGACGGGGAAAAUGAGAAAACUAUUGCCCCAUCACCUCCCGUCUCCUUUCUACUGACCGUCCCCUACCCCCUUGGUACCGAUUUAUUCUUCUCCCCAGGUUUCUGCUGCUGUAAAAUCAAAGAUGGCAGCCUUAAUUUUCACCGAAAAAAUACUGAGCAUUCACUCGCCCUUCUUAAGGAGUUUUCUUUCUUGAAUGGUUAAUUAAUCAACUUGGGAAAUGAGGAGAACUUCGUCGAGCACUGCACAGAGCUUGUUUAAUGUUUAUACUACCAAUACCAACUGUUCCUCGUGCUAGAAAUGUUUCAUUAACUUAAGAUGAUUUUGAGUGUCGGUCUGCACCAAGUAUACUCUUACGGGAGGAGUGAGUCUCUUCUUGAAUGUUCCUGGAGUUGGUCGAGGAGUUGCAGUUAAAGGAUGGCAAUCUUCCCAUCCGCAAAUAAAUCUUCCCAUCCGCUAAAAUGAAAGGAAUAUCAGUUGCAAAGACUGCAUCAUUGCCACCCCUAUUGUGUACCGUCCCCCUUAUGCCCGUUGGAUAAGAUGACGUCACGUUUAAGCAUCAUUCAUCUUUCCACGAAUCCAUCCGGAACCACCAGAGAGUCAUUUUCUCAGAAAAGUGAGCCCCACAGUCAGACGUCCAAGGUUUCACGGAUGACACAACUGUUUACCUUGACAAAAAUUGCUACAAAGAGCUGAAUUGAAGCCUUUAGACGCGAUAAAAUAAGUUGAGCGGUACAAGCUCAUCCAUUCAAACCGGCGCCAUUGGGUAAAGCGGAAUACAAAACUGUAACUCACUGGGGUAGCAAGAGGAACAAGGCUUGCCUGUGUUAACUCAGGUCCAUCUGCCAUCAGCAUGUCCAGUGUGCAAAGGCUUACGACGAGGGUGGUACCAAUCCCCAAAGACAAGGUUGGACUUGUUAUAGGAAGAAAAGGAUCACGACUACAGGAGAUAAGAGAUCAAACUGGAGUCUACAUAUCCAUCAAAGACAAUCAGGCCCAUCUGAGAGGCACAGAAGAACAAUGUCAGGAUGCAAAGACAAUGAUUGAAGAAACACUGACAAGAGCUCACGACAAAAGAGGCGGGUUCAAGAAGCUCGACGUAAAGAUACCCGAGAAAUUCAUGGGUUUCGUCAUUGGAAGAGGACGUGAGAAACUUAACGACAUCGAAACUAGGACAGGCGUAGCCCUUAAAGUCAUUGACAAUCACCUGCACAUCAAAGGAUCAACUGAACAAGAAAAAAAAGUGAUACGAGAAGUAAAGGCCACUGUGAACCUAGGAAUGAAACGUUCACUGAGGGUUGAACCUCUUGCGAGGUUUUGUUAUGUAGAUACGGCUCAACUAAAGGAUGAUCACGAAUUUGAAUUGCACAAGAUACGAUCAGAAGAAGCCAGCUCGAUUGAAAAAUCCUUUCAACUUAGGCUCCUGGAACAUCCCUUAGAAGAGGAAAAGUCUGAUUUUGCUGACACAGACAGUCUGAUCGAAAAGAUCCUUGGGGUCUUAAAGCAAAUACACAAAGAGAAGGAGGAAGGAGAGAUGGUCAAAGUUGAUAUGUGGAGUCAUUUCGGCCACGCCCACAUUAGCAGGAUUGAUGAAGAAGAAGAGGAGCAGACGUUUACUUUGAAUGAAAUCAAACAUAAACUUGAAUCCACGGAUGGCAAAAGCUGGAAACUGUCCUUCAAGGAGGGCGUUGAGAAAAUAGAAGUUGAGGAAAUUGAGAAGAAUCUCACUUCCUGUUCAGCUACUGAGGAUAUCAGACAUGACUUCACAUUUUACACCCCUUCUUGCCGAGAUAUACGUGUUAAGGUAUGGCUAGAGGAGGAACACUCUAAGGAAGAAGGGGCUGCAGAGCCUUCUCUGGUAUUCUCUCGGUUUGCUCCUAUUCCUGUUAAAAACGUUUUGACUCGAGUAUUGUCUGAGGAGGAAACUGGGGAUACGUCGGACACGCCGAACUUUCACAUGUGCUCUCAGUUUCAUCAUAGAAUGAGAGCGGAGAUUUUGAUGCCCUCCAAGGGAUUCGACUGCCGUUUGUCAAUACGAACAUGCUCGAAUAUCCCGAAGACGCCAGAAGUUGAGGAAGAAGACAUGAUUCUAGAAAGUUACUUGAAUAAGAUGAAGCUUGAUGGAAGUCAGCUGAGGUUACCACCAGUCACUGAGCUUCCAGAAGGGUUUGACCUGUUUUACCAACGCCGCAGCCUAAGGAGAACAUAUCAGUACGAAAUGGAAGGAGAAAAAUUUACGUUAACUGUUUGUAAGGAACAAGCAAAACACGUGGAUAUCGAUCAUACUGAUGACAGUGUAUACGGCUUGGACGAAACAGAACCGAAGCCGGACAUUCAUCUCCACUGUGAAGAAUGGGACCAAAAACUUGAUGAAGGAAGCUGGGAGCCGGAGCAGAUUGUUGCUAAACUACCUUCGUUUUUAAAGUUUCUGAGAAAAGUGCAGCGAAAUGUAGCUCCACAGGAUGAGGCGAGUGACCAAUAACGAAGAACAAGUUGAAGCACGAUGUUUUUUCUUAAAAUAUCGGUGAUAAGGGGCCUUGAGCAGUCAAGACGGCAAGCCAAGGAAGACUUCGAUUAAUUAAUGAAUUUCUACUUUUGAUUCCAAUUUGCUGCAUGAGUUUACCCUCUCAUGCGGCGCCCACCUCAACUUCAGCAGGUUUAAAAGUAGCUUUUGAGUUCCAAAUGGAAAUUAAAACUAUUUGCCGUCACGGUUUCGGUUCUGUUACGAUAUUUUCUCAACCAACAGAAAGUCGCAACUCGUACUACUCGUGCAACUCGUACAACUCGUACGUUUGAGGGACACAAGUUUAUUAGCCUCUGGCUAUAGGCGGAUUCAUGCCGACGUCAUUGUUUACAUUUUUGCUCAUUUGCAUACGGC